UUCUUUUUAAAAAUAUUUAAAAUAUUCACUGUUAUUCUUUAAAACAAUUUAAUUGUCAUUAAUUUUUUUCGUUUUCACUUCACUAAUCAUAUCUUCACAAGCAUCAAAAACUCGUGCCGCGCCAUGAUUAGCAACAGCUUUUAAUUAUCUCUUACCUAAAAUCCACUAAAAGUCAAUUUCUCGAGUUAUUUUUUGCUAAUUAGAGAAUAAAAGAAUAAUAAAAAGCCUUUUUCGUUCGCGUUGCCGUUUAGAAUAAUCAAAAGUAAAGGUCGCGCGAUCUCUCGUUGGAACAUCAUCAAGUUUCGUAAUCGAUAAACCUUUUAGGGAGAUCGAUAUAAUCGUUAUUACGAUUCAGUUGCUUUUAAUUCCUCGAAAUUUCACUGAAAAUUAAUUUCAGUCAAUCAAAGCUGUAAAAGAUUCACAUUUAUACGAAUGCAUCGUCGAGGAAUAAAGAAAAAGAAAAAAAAAUCAGUCAGAUUUAUUGCUUUGGCUCCAGACAUCCGUAUUGAGUGUCAUUGGAGGCUAUUUCAACCGUGCUUCUUUUUUUUUAUCCCGAUUCUUUUUUACGACGUCUUGAAAAGUGGUGUAUAACUGCUGCACGAUGAUAUGAUAAAAAAAAAAAAAGAAGAAAAAUAAUAAUAUAACAAGAUUGCGCAAUUUUUAUUGCUUCUCUCUCGUCAUCAUGCAUUACAUGAACUUUCUUCCACUUUACGAUGAGGUCGCUUCCCCGCCAACAAAUUGCAAUGGCGGUUAUCGCGGUGUGAAGUGAAGUAACAAUACGACACAAUAAUUAACAAUACAAAUUUUACCCGAUGGUUCAUUCAAAUGUUUUUUUUUUCCACGCUUUAUUAAAUUUUCUCCAUGGUUCUUGCGGUUGCAAGAAAUAUUUAUGUUGCAUUUGAUUACGAGGUACUGGAAGAUAUCUUUAAGAGUGUAAUAAAAGAGAGCUUCUAAAGCUGAAUCGAAAGCGCAAUUUUCAGUUGAACAUAGUUUGUAAUGCUGAAUGUAGUUGUAAUGUACAUUCCCUCUUGAAAAAUUCAUAAUAACAGCGAACACUCUUGCAGCGAUAAACGGUAUCGUCCGAGGAUUUAAAGAUGCGUUAAAUGGAUUGUUUGAAUUGUUUUAUUAUUCCUGUUUUUAUCAACCAUGUGUAAGCCAAAGUGAAAUCUCGACGAAGCCUAAUAUCUCCUCGAAUUCGAUUGAAUGAAUUCUAGAUUUCUAUUAUUUGCUCGCGUGUUAUUGCGAAUCGAUAAUCAUGGAUAAGAAUUGAAUCAAUUAAAAUCAGAAAUUAUCAAUAUUGUUUUUUUUAUCCUCGAUUGCUUGCGUGUUAAGAAUUAGAAAUAAUAAAAAUACAGUAACAAUUAAAUGUAAAUAAUAAAUAUUUAAUUACGUAUACCAAAAAGUGUCUAGUUAAUAGAGAUAUACGUUAAUAACACGUCUUCUUUCAGUUGUGACAUUAAAACACGCAUAAGAUUUAUCAAUUUAUAUAAUCGAUGAUUGAUGAUUUGUUCCGUUACCAGGUUUCUACCCACUUGAAAUGCUACUUUACGCUUCACGAACCCUGUUCAGAGCGAAUCCUAUUCAAUCAGAUUAAUGAUAUCUCUGUACCGCUUCCGAUCUAUGAUUUCUCUUAUUCCAGUUGUAAUGCGAUGAUUUAUGCUUGGCAAAACGUAUGACAAUAAGACCGUUGUGUAACGAAAUACAAAUUGGCAUUGGACUGGCUACGAAUUGCUUGAUAAAAAGAUCGACUCCAAAGGAAAGAAAAAAAAAAAGCUUGCAUAAAAGUUUAUUUUGCAUAAAAUAUCCAUUCAUAGACAGUGUGAUUUUGGAACGAUGUGUGUUCGGAUCGAUCGAAUGGAAGAUUGAUGAUCCUAACAUCAUCGAUCACGAGAGAUGGACAAUCGCAUUAAAAAUAUUUCCGUGGAUGGAAAGUCGAUUCUACGUAUAAAAAUGUCGAAAAAAAAGCGUUCUUUGUUUUUAAGAAUAUCGAAUUUGGAUAAAUGUCACCUAAUUUCCAAUUUCUAAUCUCUGGAUAACGAGUGCAUCAUUAACAGAAUAUUAUUCACACGCGUGAAACUAAGCAAGAUAAAAGUGUCGAGUAAAAUUUUUUCGUUCUUAAAAUUUCUUUUUCUAAUUUUAAAUACUGGCCUGAUCAUUUUAUAUUAUUAUAUAGAAAACGAGAGCUCGAACAAAAAAAAAUUUGUCACUCGAAAUACCGUGACACACAUCACUUUCCUUCCUCUCGAACCCUUGCUCCGCUAUUCGAACGUCCCAUACGAACGAUGGCCGAAAGUAAAUGGUAUCUUUUCGCCCGACACGUUCGAGAAAUCAAUCGUGGAAUCAGAACCACGCGUAGUUUCACCCAUGAAUAAUAAUCGAACGAAUCGGAUGCUUAAAAAUGGUGGACGGGCGCGCAAUGGGCCGAGGUCGGCCUAAAUCAUCGUCAAAAGUGGCACGGUAUCCUGCUAGGACGUCCUUUCCCGCCUGAUCGAUGAUGUCAGAGCCGAGCUUCGUCGUCGUCGUCGUCCUUCCACCCACGAAAAGGGAAAGUGAGAGAAUCCCGAGGAGCUCCUCUUCUUCCCAAUGGGGGGGACGCGGAUGAAUCGCCUCUAUGCACCGAGAAAGGUUAAUAUAUGCUAACAUUCGACCUGCCCCGUCGCGCUUCCAAUCAACACUCGCCUCAAGGAUGGAUAAUUUCAAUGGAUAUCUCAUGCUGGCGAUAUUUUUAGGGGACAAUGGGAAAUCAAGGAUCGAGACCGAGUCAUUCACGGAAGAUGAUUGGAAGAUCCGUCCAAGUGUCAAGUCGUUGACAUCGUCAUCUUGACGAUGAACCUGAAUGAAGGAUGAGCGAAGAUUUCGUUGGGUCGAGAAAGAGGAGCGAAGAAAGUUUGAUGGAUCACCGUUAAGGUUGAUGGAGAGCGGAUGUUGGUCGUUGAUUGAAUACGAUUCUCAUUUUUAUUACCCGAUUUCAAUUCGUUUGUCGUUUUUCUUUUUAUUUUCUUUUUUUUUUUCUCUCUUUCGUGUAUUUCUUGAAUUAAUGUUAACUUUUAUUAGAAGAGAAGUUAAUUGAUUAAGGAAUUAAAAAGGAAAUUAAUAAUGGAGAAUAUAGGAAAUAGAUUUUUCUUUACUCGUUAUUGGAAGUCAAUUAUCAAUUAUAAGAGAAAUGUGAAUGAAGUUUUGAUUUAUUACUUUAUGCUCGGAAGAUUCGCAUCCCGCAAAAAGAUCAAGUUUUCAAUUAAAAGUUUUAAAGUAGCCAUCACAAAAUUAACAUUCAUUUAUCAAAUUUUUUUUUUCUUUUUCUCGAUGUCUAAAGAUUAUAAACGUUGUUAAACGUUGUUUUCAUUGCCUGCAAUUAAUUUCUAUUAAACAUUAACGCGCCGCCAUAAUAUCUAAAUUAUUCGUAAAUUGAUAGAUUUGAUCUUUUAACGGGGAAUUCUUGCUAAAAUAUAAUUACGAUAUCUUAAUAUCGUAUCACGUAUCAGGGAUUACAUCGCAAUCGGAAUGGCAUGCUUCGUCGGAUACAGAUUAUCGAAUUACGGAGAGAUGUUUAUCGAAUAGGGCAUCUGAAAUUACAGUGUGUGUUUCGUGUACACAAGUGUCUUCGCGAGAUUAAAGCGUGAAAAAAUUCGCAUUCGAUUGCAAAGCGAAGGAACGUGUGUAUACACGUGACAAGAUUGAUCCCCGAGAAAAGGAUUUUGCAUAUCGAUAGAAGGGAAUCUAUGAUCGAUUAAAAAUAAAAAUCACGUGUAUAUUAGUAUUGUAGGAAUUUAUUAGAACGAAAAGAGUAUUAGAAAUUCAUUUUUUUUUUUUUAUGAAAAAUAUCAUAAAAUUGUAGAAAUUGUAUUUCCACAUCUAUACACGGUAAUAUAGAUAAAUUUUUUUAUCGAUAAUUGGGAAUUACUUGUAUAUACGUUGAUAUUUUUUUUUCUUGUCUAUCUAUAAAUCUCCAUGUUGUAAAAUUUGUUUGGAUAUAUUUUGUUCGAGAUAAACAAGAUUCUGAUUUAUAUAUCAGAAUUAUUGAACGGUAAGUCAAAAAUUCUAUUUCGUAUACGUUUCAAUCAUGCGUUAUCAAACAUGCAGUAAGAAAAAUUGUACGAGCGUGUUGUACAAAAAUAACUUUAAAAUGUUAUCGAUAAAUAGUUAAAAUUUGAAAGAAAUUCGAAAGAAAAAUAUUCAAAUAUUUGGGAUAUUAAAUUCUCGAUGGGAUUUUUGCAAUUUGAUCCGAGACGAUCGGAAUGGAAAACGGAAGAAACGCGGUUAGUCGUAGUUCGUCGCUUGUUCUGAUAACACAAUCACGCUGCAUCGUAUAAAAUCAAACAUUCGCUAAUAACCAAGGUUUUUUGUGCACGCAGUAUCGCGAUUAAAAUUGCAGUCCGCUCGGUGGAAUAUAACACGAAAGCAACAUUUGAUAUCCUCGCCUCGCUGUUUCUAGUCGACGAGUCGAAAGCGAAAACGAAAAAUUUGAAAAUGAAAUAUGUUAGCGUUAAAUAAUAACGAAUUUUUGAUCGGAUCAAUCGUUCGUCGCGAUUACAAUCCUUCGAAUAUUUUAAAACGAUUUUUCUCGUUUCGUUUCAAACAAGUGAUUCGUUACUUUUAUAAUAAUUCGUCUUUUUAAAUCGUGUUUACGAGCCUCCGGCAUCUGAUGACUCCUUGAAAAUGGGAACGCAGAUUCUUGGACCAGAACAGCGAUACUAGGUGGUUCAAGAUGUUUCUAUAUAUACUGUUUCUCCACUUCCUAUAUCUGCAACCACAGCAGCUGUUUGAUGCCCAG